GCCAGCAUGGCAUAGUGGUUUGAGCGUUGGACUACAACUCUAGAGACCAGGGUUCGAUUCCCAGCUCAGCCA
rnacentral:tRNA from 1 species